CCUACGGGAGGCAGCAGUGGGGCAUAUUGCACAAUGGGCGAAAGCCUGAUGCAGCAACGCCGCGUGAGCGAUGAAGGCCUUCGGGUCGUAAAGCUCUUUCCUCAAGGAAGAUAAUGACGGUACUUGUGGAGUAAGCCCCGGCAAACUCCGUGCCAGCAGCCGCGGUCAUACGUAGGGGGCUAGCGUUAUCCGGAAUUACUGGGCGUAAGGGGUGCGUAGGUGGUUUCUUAAGUCAGCGGGAAAAGGCUACGGCUCAACCGUAGUAAGCCUUUGAAACUGGGGAACUUGAGUGCAGGAGAGGAGAGUGGAAUUCCUAGUGUAGCGGUGAAAUGCGUAGAUAUUAGGAGGAACACCAGUUGCGAAGGCGGCUCUCUGGACUGUAACUGACACUGAGGCACGAAAGCGUGGGGAGCAAACAGGAUUAGAUACCCCUGUAGUC
rnacentral:rRNA from 1 species